rnacentral:lncRNA from 1 species
AGCUACCAUCCGGUUGCGACUCUGGCGCCGGCUCCUCACCCCCAAGCAGAGCAAGGUGUCCCCCCGACGCCCGGUCAGCGUUGAGGACGCCAAGCCAAGCCCUGCGGCGCCGGUUUGACCGGUCCCGCAGUGACCCACGCCUUGCUCUUCCUGCUCUGCCCAGGGACUCCGCCUCGCGCGCCUCCCAGCGGCGGACCGAAGACCCGCACUCAAGCAGCCCGGCCGUAGCGUGCGGUCCCGCGACCCGGGCGGGACGACUGGGGGACGCGCUGGCCAUCUUCCCGAUCUGCCCAAGCCGCUGUUCUGCUCCAGGGCCUGGGAACGCAGUUCAAUCGGGGAGCGGACCCAGAGCCCGGCCCACCAAACUCCGCCCCUGCCCGUGCCUGCGGCGGUUUCGGGGCAGGGGGCCUGCACGGCGAGACAGUUACUCAGACCUGGCGAAACCAGCGAGUCGGCACCUGCCGGCCUGGCGGGCGUGGCAGGCGGAGGCUCCGUUACGCCCCGCCCCUGGGCUCGCCCCGUCCCGGCCGCCCACGCGCCGCGCGCCCCGCCCCGGCCCGCGCCGCCAGCCUGCCAGCCCGGAAGGAGCCGACCGAGCGCCUGCGGCAGCUGACUCAAGCG